CACCCUCGGUGCCUGACACGCGUCGCAGGAGUUGGGUUGCCUGGAAUGUUUUUGUAGGAGUUCUGCAGCAUCUUCAUUGAAGGCGACGACACAGGGAGCAUGACUGUUCAGGCCCAGUUUUCCUGGGAGGUGCUGAAGAAGGAUUUUGCAGCUGAGCAGAUGCACCCUGGGCCUAAUGUUCGUGGGAUUUGAUGGGGGAAGUGCCGGGCAGCGGCUACACAGCAGGAAGGCAAUAAGGCACGGAAUGGAUACUCGCAGACAGGGCUCGCUUCGGCCUCGCGGAAUUGUGCAAUCAGACACCACGUGAAUAUCCAGCAUGGCUCCUGUCCUCUGAGCCCUGGUGGCCCAGGGCACCAUCAAGUCUACAUGGUCUUGUCAGUACCACUGCACUCAACACAGACAGCAUGGCUCUCUCAGCCACUGCUGGGUCAUUACAACGUACGACUUCCAAGAGCCAGAGUACUCCAGUGACCUCGGAACUUUCCCCAAGUACCUGAAGCACAACCAGAGCAUGGGUGUGU